UUUGCACUGUAUCUUUGUUUCUGCUUCUCAAUUCCUUCAGCACCGCACGGGUUGGGGUCUCUUCCACCGAGUUGAUCUCGGCAAGUGGCGCCCAAGCGUGGAACUCAACCAGGGACAAAGGGUUGCCUGAGUGACAGGAAAAAGGAGAAAUAAAUUUAAGCUGAAGGACACCUGAGAACUCUUGAAAAAAUCUCCCAGGUCUACAGGUGCGGAUUCUGAAUCCUCCAAGAAAUAGCUCACCAAAAUAAAGCUGUGCUUGCUUCUCUAGCCUUGCAAAAA